AGUGUCACUCCCACUGAGAAUGGGCAUCAUUGACAGGGGCUCCAGGACUGUAAAUGGUCUAAGCUGAGACCCAGGGUACACUUCCACCAGAGCCAGUGUGUUGCAAUGGUGACCAGGAGACCUGUGAUGUUU
ensembl:snoRNA